ensembl:lncRNA
AAAUCAACCAAAAUCCAGCGAAAUUCGCUGGAUUUUGGUAGAUUUUUUUCCUGAAUGUUCUUGAAGAAACAUAUUUUUUGAACAUUUCUUUUUUUUCCCCACCAAAAAAUGUUCAAAAAUUACCCAAAAAUGUUGAAAAUGUGGAAGUUUUCACUGUGAAAAUAUUUUUUUUUCCCACAUUUUCAAACUUUAAAACGGGUCAAUUUGACCCACAGGACGACACGAGGGUUAAACAACAAAUCAAGCAAAUAUUCCCCAUUUCCAGCCUUUCAAAUUGGUGGAUCUUCAAAUUUUGAAUGAUUGGUGAGACAAAACAUGCAAUUUUAAGAUGUCAUCUUCAAAGUUUGGCUCUAGAAACUAAUUUUAGUAUGUGGUAUCAAACCUUUUUGCUUGUGUACCCACUUAAAAAUGAAACAACAGCUGCUUAUUUGUGUCUAGUAGUUCAAAAUGUGAUAGAAAAUAAUUGAUCAGAACUACGAGAUGCAGGCUUUUAUCAUCAUAAUGUGGAGAAAAAAAAUGGAGACUAACACUCGAAAUGCUGAAGUGUCCCUUUAAGUUAAAACGAGAAGUGAGCCUUCAUUAUUUUUCCGUGGUGCUAAGCCGAUCAACAACAAAAAAAAAAAAGACAAAUCAGUUCAUUUUUGCUGCAAAACUGGCGAAUAGAAUCAGUGACGCGCAACAGAAGCAGCCGCAUCGGUAUUCAUAUGGUGCAACACUCUCAAGCUACAGAGUCAAUCGGCUGCUAAUCCCACUUCAUAUGGUGCAAAUAUGAAAACACACGUACUUAUGGUGCAAUAAGGGCAGAUUGUCUCUUUGAAUUCUAUGGUGCAACUUGAGUACUGCCUUCAGUUGUCGGCCAAGGCUGUGCCAAAGGCUCCGUCCAAAUGGACAACUGCUCUUCCUGUCCUGCAGAAGCUAUGCAAGUCUCCGACGCAGGGAGAUGUGCUUAGUGUACACACAACACACACAUAUACACACAGACACACAGACACACAGGGUUUUCCUCUGCAGCAGGGAGAUAUGCUUCAUAAAUACACAAUGAAAAGUAGUGUCACAACAUGAGAUGUGCCCCUACCUCACUGCACACACACAAACACACACACCAAUCUCCAAUAAUCCCUUACCCCUUUAUAAUUUGGGAACAAUAUUCAUAUGGUGCUAUUGAGUAAAGUCGGAUGGUUUUUGUAUAGUCGUGGUUCCAGUGAAGAAUUUAGCCAAAUAUGUUUAGAAAACCUGACAUUCAGACCGCAAAUUCUGGGUUUCCCAGAGUGCACAUUAACCCUCGUGUUGUCCUGCGGGUCAAAAUUGACCCGUUUUAAAGUGUGAAAAUGUGGGGAAAAAAAUAGAUUUUCACAGUCAAACUUCUCAUGUCCACAUUUUCAACAUUUUUGGGAAAUUUUUGAACAUUUUUUGGUGGAAAAAAGAAAUGUUAAAAAUGUUCUUAAAGAAAAUAUUAGAAGUUUUACUCAUAUAUCUGUAAUCACUAGAUAUUUUUAGGAUUUUUUUGGAAGAUUUUUAUUCAUUUUUUGAAAAUAUUUACAAGAAUUGUCAAUGCCAAAUUUGGUUUGUUUUUGACAAUAAAACUUUCAAGGGAAACUUUUAAGGAAUUAUUGGAAUUUUCUUCCUUAUGGUUUUGCAAAAUUUUCAGAAAUUUGGGGAAUUUUUUUGCUGGAUUUUUUUCAGACAAGGAAACUGUAUUUUUUGGUGCCCGUAAAUGAGGACAACAGGAGGGUUAAAACAGCAACAAUUCUGUCUCUGUGAAAAAAAAACGAGCGACACAUAAAAGCUACAAUGCCUUAUCCGCUCGCCUGAAGAUAACCGAGAACGUACGAGGGUGGAGCCACUUUUUAUGUGUGCUCUAAUCCAGACAUGCACUGUACAUUAAGCAUGGUGUCAGAAAUCAAAGGAGAACAGCAUACUGUGUUAGCACGUCAUCCUAAAAAAUGAAUAUGUGCCAUGUCGAGAACACAGUCAGGCAUUUCUUGUUCGUUUCACAGAUUGUGCUCGUGAAUUCCUUGCAUGAAUGUUCUAGAUUUGAGGGCACAAACGAACAGGUUUGGAGAGUCACAGCUUGUGCUUCUGGGUUGUUAAAGGGAGAUUUAUUUUUGAGCUUCAGAGCAGCUGUCCCCGCUAGAUUUCUUUCUCCCCCCGAGCACUGACCUCUGAUCCUUUAACCCCAAACCACGGCCUCCUUUUGCACCCAGAGCUACAGCCAAUCAGAGAUCAGGUUUAUUACAGCCAAAUCAGGUCGGACACAACCAAAUAAUACAGCUCCUUUUUUUUUUUUUUUUACACAAGUUUGUAGCAUUCAGACUCGACUACGACCUCAUAAUCAAAGUGCAGGUAUCUUCACCCAGCAGUCAAAAACUCAUCCACACUGGGUCUACAGUUGAGUCUGCACUGCCACAAAAUAAAAGCUUUUUUUUGUUGUUUUUCCACCCAGAAAACCAGAGCCUUAGCCAGGCCCCACUCUGUAUGAAAUUAAAUUCCAGUCAGUGUAUGGCAUCCACAGCUAUGCAAGCUUACAGGCAAGAAGGUUCUGGGCUUAGAUAACCUUUACAAAAAAUAGCACAUCGCUAUUCUCAUGUAUUUUAGUGUUAUUUUUGCCUCUUUUUUUGGUAGUUUGCAAAGAAGAAGUGACGAAAAAGAUGAAACCACAAUGUGAUGUACCAUUUGUUUACAUUUUUUAAGCUUUUUGCAUUUGUUUAUGAUAAUUUGGUCACUUUUUAUGGACUUGUUUUAUAUUUCUCUGUCAAGAUUGUCCUUUGAUGGGUUCAAAUUGGUCAGGAGGGGAAAACUUGUGUAAUGUACCUUCACCUUGGGAAUAACUGGGAUGAAUGCAGCCUCCCGACUGAGGAAUGUGCAUCUUAUUGUGAAAAUUUAAACCAGAAAGUUAUUUUUUCUUUGGAUAAAUACAUAAAUGUUCCACUAUCAGGGUCUGCAAAGCAUAUGAGGCCUGUGGUAAGGCUGUGUAUGAUGUACGUGUAUGUGCGAGUGCAAGUACGUGUCACUAAUGCUUCAUAUGCUUUUUUUUCAGCCAAAGUUUUACUUGCUUGGUCCAGAGCUGUGAAAGUAUCAUUACUCAUCAUGGUUUUGUGGGACUUGAGGCCAGACGCUAAGCUGUUUCUGAUCUCAGACCAGUUUCUACCAGAUCUGAGUCCAACGACAAUUCUUUCCUUUUGGAACCGAAGGGGGUUUUCGCUUGUUUUGGCACAAAUACUCAGAUUUAAUCAGAAAAUAAGCGGAAAGGAUUUCAGUGGUUUGACUCAGGUUUGGAUUCUACAAGCACAGGGCAGGGUCAAACUAAACCCUAAAAUGGAUGUAUCUAUAAGAUGUACCAUGAGCUUUUAUUUUGUCGGGGUCAUGCUUUUCUACUGUGUUCUUCAGCUUGGAAAAAAAAGUAGCUCUAGCAAAUUUGAUGUGCAAAAGUAGCUUUUAUUUUCUCGUGGUUUGCAUUUUGAUUGUAAAUACCUUUUUCUGGUAAUCGUCCUCAGUUGGAUCUAUGUUCCAUGGGUUUGCUUAGAUGGCUCUUUCAAAUGUAAUGAUAGUAAAUGUUCUUUAUAAAUAUCCAGAAUGUAAAAUGAGAGAAGAAAAAUACAGCUCGACUGGAAACUGUGUUUUCGUAGGAAUCUGUGCCAUCGUGUUGUCAUGAGUGUAAGCAUACUGAUAUUAGAUCUGUAGACGGGAUGAAGUUUUUGGAGCUGAUUUGCCAGACAGCUAUAGUCAUGCUUUGGCUCAGUUUCUUUCUAAAAGAGUCCAAAUUAAACAAAAUGAGAAGUAAUUUGUUUAUUGUGUCGCUAAAGACAUUGCUUUUUAAUCUCUCUGCAAUGAAGUCCUCCACAAGUGUAUGAUUAUUGAAGACAAUAUAAUUUAACCAUUAGCAUUUUCUGAUUUUGCAAAAAUGUCAAUUUAAAACUGUACAUUUUGUGCCCAGUGGCUAAGUAUUUAGUUUCAGCUCGCAUGAAAGAUGGGAGCAGAGGGAAACAGCUAAUUAGCUUGCUAGGUAGCUUUGUCAAAAGAUCGCAACUAGCAAAGAGCCAAAUCAACUUCUGCUUCUUAAAAAAAUGUCACAUAUCAGGUUGUGUAUAGACUAAAUUAAGUAAAAAAGAUAAAGUAUUACUCUGUUAAAAUGUAGACCUAUAGGUUAGCUAUUUGACCUACUUCGUGUUGUUAUGCUAAUGACUAAUUAGCUAGAUAGCAUACUCUAAACAUGACGUUAUGGAUAUAUGAAAAAAAUGUUCACAUAUCUAGUUGUGUAUGGGCUAACCUAAAAAAGGGGGGAUAAACUAUUAAAUGGUUAAAAUUUAGAAGUGCUGGUUUGCACACUUUUUAAAAAAUAACUAGGGAGCCAAGCUAGCUGUUUUCGCUCUAUAUGCUAACGGCUAAUUAGCGAUUUAGCCUGGUCUAGCCAAAGAUAGUAACAAGCAGAGACAUAAAAGUGACACGUUAUGAGAAAAAAGAACACAUAUUUGGUUUUGUAUGAAUUAAAAUAAUAAAAUAAAGUCACAAAGUAUUAUUUGGUUAAAAAUUUAGAUGUGCUGGUUCUAGAAUUUUUUUUUUUAAAUAAGACCUAAAAUGUUGGACUAAGCAAGGCUAGCUGUUUUCCCUGUUAGCUAACUAGUUCACUAGCUCUGGCAAAAGACGGCAAAGAGACCAAGAAGUUGUUUCGAAGUUGCUGCUUAUAACAUUUAAAUUAAAAUCCACUUACCUGGUUGUGUAUGGAUUAAACAAACAACAAAAAGAUACAUUACCUACUGGCUUCCUUUUUUUUUUUUAAAGAAUUGAAGGCAGAGCUGGGCUGUUUCUUCUGCUUCCGUUUUUGUGCUAAAUGAAUCUCUAGACUUUAGCUUCAUGUUAGCAUACAGCAUACAUAAGAGUGGUGUUUUAUCUUUAGUAAUUUCCAGCCAAAAUGACAUAAAGUGUUACAUAAAUUUUCCGAAAUAUAAAAUGGUUCCUUUAAAAUAAGGUUAAACAGGCAUUUAUUGCAAAUACAUAGGUUUGCAUUAGAUAUAAGUGUAACAGUAUUGGCAAAAUGUUUCACCCAAAUUCCAAAUUUUAGCUUAGCAUAAAGGCAGGAAGUUAUGAAUGAAACCUAGCCUGGCUCUGACCAAAAAUUUGUCAACCAGAAACUCUAAAAUUCACUAUACCUUGUUUUACUUAUUCAAAACUUAAGAACCAUAUUAGCCGUUUCCUUCAGUUUCCAGCUAACACCAGCUAACUCAAUGACACCAAAGCCAUGUAGCCCAGGUGACUGUGAUAAAAAACAUCCAACAAUUACCUGAUUUCACACCUGAGCUGUCUGGCCAACAUCUCCUGACUUCACUGUAGAAAUGAUGGCUGCCGUCAUUAACCGUGUUCAAACCACUCCUGCGUCAGCUCAUAAACACACCAUUCAGGAAUCUUCUGGUUUUUGGGGAUGGAUUUCCCAAACUCACACCAAAUAUCUCAGACCAACCACAAACGAGACGGGAGAGAAACGAGAAGACACGUGGUGUAUCUCUGGUUUGUCUGUGUAUUCUGUGUCUAUGAUAGUGUAAAAGCAUUCUGGGGAAGAGUUGAAUGAUAUUUUCAAUGGCUCUAGGUGGCCAGCAUUAGGAAAUGUGUUAUUUUUGUUACAAUACCUCCUGAAAAUAAAGUCUAUUUAUCUGUGAAGAGACAAAGAUUUACAAUAAUACAGAUGACUACAUAGAAAUUAUGACAGAUUUUAAAUGAUGUAAAACAGAUAUAAAUGAAAACAUGUACAGUUCAUUUGGUUUUGAACACGAUACAGAAAUGUAUAUGCGUCAGUAUUGAGUUUGAUUUUAUAUAUUUACCAUUUUAUUACAUUGUAAUGUUGUGACUGCGAUGGAGAAAAAAAAAUAUAAAGGAAU